UCCAGUCAUGAGUGUGGCUGAAUGACUGAU
rnacentral:piRNA from 1 species